AACAACCCAACAAUUCAAGCAGCAACCCUCGACGAAUAUACAUUUUACAAACCACUCCCUUACAAGCCCAGUCCUCUCCUCCGUCAAAUUUGGCACAUUUAAGCAACUAAUUUGCAAUUUCCCACCAAAAUGCUGCAUCAUCACCUUUGUUGCGAAGACGACAAGUAUAGUAAGCUGUAAGCACCGGACACUGCAAAAAUCUUGCACACGCAAACCGCAGCCAAGCAAGCGUUCCCCUCCCUGUGAUCGCGAUGGGGUCCACCGAGAAGCAGGAGCCGGAGGCGUCGCCGGAGAUCAUCUUCCGGUCGAAGCUCCCGGACAUCGCCAUCACCAACACCCUCCCGCUGCACCGCUACUGCUUCGAGCGGCUCCCCGAGGUGGGCGAGAGGCCCUGCCUCAUCGACGGCGGCACGGGCGCCGUGCUCACGUACGCCGAGGUGGACCGCCUGACCCGGCGCCUGGCCGCGGCGCUCCGGCGCGCGCCGCUGGGGCUCGGGCGCGGCUCGGUGGCCAUGAACCUCAUGCUGAACUCGGCGGAGUUCGUGCUCUCCUUCUUCGCCGCGUCGCGCGUGGGCGCCGCGGUCACCACCGCCAACCCGAUGUCGACGCCGCACGAGAUCGCCGGGCAGAUCGCGGCCUCCGGCGCCACCGUUGUGUUCACCGAGUCCAUGGCCGCGGACAAGCUCCCCGCCAUGGGCGACAAGCUCACGGUCGUCCUCAUCGACGCGCGCCGCGACGGGUGCCUCCACUUCUGGGAUGACGUCAUGGCCAGCGUCCCCGACGAGGAGGCCGGCGGCGGCGAGCAAGACUUGGACUUCGACCCCGACGACGUGGUGGCGCUGCCCUACUCGUCCGGCACGACGGGGCUGCCCAAGGGCGUGAUGCUGACGCACCGCAGUCUGAGCACGAGCGUGGCGCAGCAGGUGGACGGCGACAACCCCAACAUCGGCCUGACCGCCGCCGACGUGGUCCUGUGCUCGCUCCCCAUGUUCCACAUCUACUCGCUCAACACCAUCCUGAUGUGCGGGCUGCGCGUGGGCGCCGCCAUCGUGGUGGUGCGCCGCUUCGACCUGCGCAGGAUGAUGGAGCUGGUGGAGCGCCACCGGAUCACCGUCGCCCCGCUGGUGCCGCCCAUCGUGGUCGCCGUGGCCAAGAGCGACGAGGCGGCGGCGCACGACCUGUCGUCCGUCCGGAUGGUGCUCUCCGGCGCCGCGCCCAUGGGGAAGGACAUCGAGGACGCGUUCGUGGCCAAGCUCCCCGGCGCCGUGCUCGGACAGGUCAUUUUCAGAGGUACGUACUGGUUCAGAUUCUGGAGACUUCUACAGAAGGAGGAAUCACAUCAACAAAUCCUCGAUGUCUGUCAAGCGUUGGAAGUGGUGGCGAUGGAAGUCUUUGCAAAUCAUGGAUGGCGCUCAAAUGCAAGAAUUGAGGAUGCCUAGAGUUACCUACAUUCUAGUGAUUUUGCUUCUUUAAGUUAGUUUCAUUAUCUAUGCAACGUUUCUCGGAUGUAAUAAUUGUCUUGUGUGGGCUGUACGCAUUACCAUGCUAAAGCCGGAACUCUUGUUUCCAUAAUCAAAAAAAAAAAAGUUCGGUUGUC